rnacentral:rRNA from 1 species
AAUGAACGUUGGCGGCGUGGAUUAGGCAUGCAAGUCGUGCGGCAGCAGGCCCCGCAAGGGGUGCUGGCGAGCGGCGAAAGGGAUAGUAAUGUGUGGAUACCUGCCCUGGGGACGGGGAUAGCUGCUGGAAACGGCAAUUAAUACCCGAUGAUGUCUCAGGACCAACGGUGUAAUUCCGCCCUAGGAGGGGUCCACAUCCUAUUAGCUAGUUGGUGAGGUAACGGCUCACCAAGGCCACGAUGGGUAGCGGGUGGGAGAGCACGACCCGCAUCACUGGGACUGAGACACUGCCCAGACACCUACGGGUGGCUGCAGUCGAGGAUCUUCGGCAAUGAGCGAAAGCUUGACCAAGCGACGCCGCGUGCGGGAUGAAGGCCUUCGGGUUGUAAACCGCUUUCGGAGGGGAGGAAAUCUAGGGGGGAUCACCCUUCUAGUUGACCUAUCCUAGGAAGAAGGACGGGCUAAGUUCGUGCCAGCAGCCGCCGCAGUA